AUGGGAAAGAAGGGUCUUAAAAACAAAAGAACAGAGAAAAAGUCCCUCCCCGAGGAGAAGUUACACGCACAAAGCCAGUUCCGAAGGAGCGGUGCCGAGGGGCACGCGGUGCCAGGUGACACCGCAGCCGGCACCACCGCGGGGGGCGAUGCGCGGCUCCCAAAACCACGCGGCGCGGCGGGACCCGGCUCCGCUCCCGGUCCCGACGGGGCGGCGGCGGGCGAGCGGCGACCCCCGGGGGGCUGCGCGCCCCCAGCCCGGCCGGCCCCGGCCCCGGUGCUGCCUGAACCGCUGGGCGCCGAGGGGCGCACGCCGCCCGACAGGGGCCGGGGGUGCAGGUGUGGAAAUAAAGGAUCAGGGGCAAGCUGGAGGGAAGGGGAGGGGGCCGGGAAGGCGGGGGCGGAGGGGGGGCUGUGUGUGUGUGUGUGUGCGUGUGUGUCCCACCUGACUCCCUGCUCGGCGGGGGGGCGGCACACACACACACACAAACACACACACACACACUCACCCGCCGCUCGGUUCCCCCCCCGCCACCCCCUCCGCCGCUUCCCAUCGCCGCCCCAUCAGGGAGGGAGGGAGGCAGCAGGCGGGGACCCCCCCGGCCUCCCUCGGCCGCGCUGCCCCGACGGCACCGCCGCCCCCUCCCCGGGGGCAGCGCGCACCUCCCCGCCCGGGGGGGGGGGGGGGGGGGGGGGGGGGGGGACCGGGGAGGUGGGGGGGGGCCGCAGGCAGACGCCCAGACAGACAGACAGACACGCAGACGCACGGGCAGGGCUGCCCCACGCCGGUACCUUGCUGCCCUGGUGGUUUCCGUCCGGGCUCCUCCUUGCUGAGGCAGCUCGGGAGCGGAGCCGAGCGGGCGGGUGCGCGCGUGUGGCUGUGUGCGUGUGUCCGUGUGUCUGUGCGUGUGGCUGUGUGUCUGUGCCUCCGUGUGUGUGUGCGUGCGUGUGUGUGUGUGUGCGAGAGCGAGCGAGAGCGAGAGCGACUCUCCCCCCUCCCCCUCCCCCUCCUCCUCCUCGCUCUCCUUCCUUUAAACGCCCACUCCUGAUGGGUGAAAAGACAACUUGA
rnacentral:lncRNA from 1 species